rnacentral:rRNA from 1 species
CGAUUUGGAGGUUGUGCCCUUGAGGCGUGGCUUCCGGAGCUAACGCGUUAAAUCGACCGCCUGGGGAGUACGGCCGCAAGGUUAAAACUCAAAUGAAUUGACGGGGGCCCGCACAAGCGGUGGAGCAUGUGGUUUAAUUCGAUGCAACGCGAAGAACCUUACCUACUCUUGACAUCCAGAGAACUUAGCAGAGAUGCUUUGGUGCCUUCGGGAACUCUGAGACAGGUGCUGCAUGGCUGUCGUCAGCUCGUGUUGUGAAAUGUUGGGUUAAGUCCCGCAACGAGCGCAACCCUUAUCCUUUGUUGCCAGCGGUUCGGCCGGGAACUCAAAGGAGACUGCCAGUGAUAAACUGGAGGAAGGUGGGGAUGACGUCAAGUCAUCAUG